rnacentral:tRNA from 1 species
GUUCAAAUUUUAUUAUAAAUUGCAAAUUUAUAAUUAUUCUAAUUGAAUUUUGAAUU